rnacentral:rRNA from 1 species
AUUGAACGCUGGCGGCAGGCUUAACACAUGCAAGUCGAGCGGGGGAAGGUAGCUUGCUACCGGACCUAGCGGCGGACGGGUGAGUAAUGCUUAGGAAUCUGCCUAUUAGUGGGGGACAACAUCUCGAAAGGGAUGCUAAUACCGCAUACGUCCUACGGGAGAAAGCAGGGGAUCUUCGGACCUUGCGCUAAUAGAUGAGCCUAAGUCGGAUUAGCUAGUUGGUGGGGUAAAGGCCUACCAAGGCGACGAUCUGUAGCGGGUCUGAGAGGAUGAUCCGCCACACUGGGACUGAGACACGGCCCAGACUCCUACGGGAGGCAGCAGUGGGGAAUAUUGGACAAUGGGGGGAACCCUGAUCCAGCCAUGCCGCGUGUGUGAAGAAGGCCUUAUGGUUGUAAAGCACUUUAAGCGAGGAGGAGGCUACUUUAGUUAAUACCUAGAGAUAGUGGACGUUACUCGCAGAAUAAGCACCGGCUAACUCUGUGCCAGCCGCCGCCGUAA